AUUUCCUAGGCUCCCUAACAGGACACAGAGACUCGCUCACUGGUUGCAGAUCUCCCGAACCUGAGACGGAAGACGACAGAAGGAAGGCUGCUGCUAUUGGUGUCUCAUCUGUCUCUUUCCUUUGCUGGGUCCCUCACAAUUCCCCAAGCUCUGCAGCAGGUUUCAGGAAGCAGCCUGCCCACGGGAGCACCAGUUACUGAGUGGGUGCUUGGACAGCACAGCAGGCCACGCUGCGGGG
rnacentral:lncRNA from 1 species